rnacentral:rRNA from 1 species
AUUGAACGCUGGCGGCAUGCCUUACACAUGCAAGUCGAACGGCAGCGGGCCCUUCGGGGUGCCGGCGAGUGGCGAACGGGUGAGUAAUGCAUCGGAACGUACCCGGGAGAGGGGGAUAACCGGCCGAAAGGCUGGCUAAUACCGCAUGAACUCGGAAGAGCAAAGCGGGGGACCUUCGGGCCUCGCGCUCUCGGAGCGGCCGAUGUCCGAUUAGGCUAGUUGGUGGGGUAAAGGCCCACCAAGGCGACGAUCGGUAGCGGGUCUGAGAGGACGAUCCGCCACACUGGGACUGAGACACGGCCCAGACUCCUACGGGAGGCAGCAGUGGGGAAUCUUGGACAAUGGGCGCAAGCCUGAUCCAGCAAUGCCGCGUGGGUGAAGAAGGCCUUCGGAUUGUAAAGCCCUUUCGGCGGGGAAGAAAUCGGUCAGGCGAAUAGUCUGGCCGGAUGACGGUACCCGCAGAAGAAGCACCGGCUAACUACGUG